rnacentral:rRNA from 1 species
CAGACAGCAGGACGGUGGCCAUGGAAGUCGGAAUCCGCUAAGGAGUGUGUAACAACUCACCUGCCGAAGCAACUAGCCCUGAAAAUGGAUGGCGCUUCAGCGUCGAGCCCAUACCCGGCCGUCGCGGCUGUAGGUACUUGUGCUUUAUGUCGCGACGAGUAGGAGGGCGCAGGGGUGUGCGUUGAAGGUGCCGGGCGCGAGCCCGUCUGGAGCCGCCCCUGGUGCAGAUCUUGGUGGUAGUAGCAAAUACUCAAGUGAGAACCUUGAGGACUGAGGUGGAGAAGGGUUCCAUGUGAACAGCAGUUGAACAUGGGUCAGUCGGUCCUAAGGGAUAGGAGAAAUCCGUUCCGAAGCGGGACCUUUCUUUGUUUGGUNCCGCCGCAGACCGAAAGGGAAUCGGGUUAAUAUUCCCGAACCCGGACAUGGAGAUCGACCCCUCACGGGGUCCAGUGCGGUAACGCAAACGAACUCGGAGACGUCGACGGGAGUCCCGGGAAGAGUUGUCUUUUCUUUGUAAGGGCUCGGCUCCCUGGAAUCGGCU